rnacentral:rRNA from 1 species
CAGUCGCCACGGUAAUACAGAGGGUGCGAGCGUUAAUCGGAUUUACUGGGCGUAAAGCGUGCGUAGGCGGCUUUUUAAGUCGGAUGUGAAAUCCCUGAGCUUAACUUAGGAAUUGCAUUCGAUACUGGGAAGCUAGAGUAUGGGAGAGGAUGGUAGAAUUCCAGGUGUAGCGGUAAAAUGCGUAGAGAUCUGGAGGAAUACCGAUGGCGAAGGCAGCCAUCUGGCCUAAUACUGACGCUGAGGUACGAAAGCAUGGGGAGCAAACAGGAUUAGAGACCCCCGUAGUCCCUGUCUCUUAUAC